rnacentral:ncRNA from 1 species
AGGGAGCACUUUGCUUCUGGUGCUAUUUGCAAGCUCAAUAGGGAAGCCGGUGAGAAUCCGGCACGGCCGCGCCACUGUGAUCGUGGAGAACUGGCCAGUACGCCACUGACGAAAGUUGGGAAGGCGGUCAGUUCGACGAAGCGAGAGUCAGGAGACCUGCCAGAAGCGGGAUGAGAUC